UACGUAGGUGGCAAGCGUUGUCCGGAAUUAUUGGGCGUAAAGCGCGCGUAGGCGGGAUAAUCAGUCUGUUGUGAAAUUGCGGGGCUCAACCCCGUAUUGGCAAUGGAAACUGUUAUUCUUGAGUGCAGGAGAGGAAAGCGGAAUUCCCAGUGUAGCGGUGAAAUGCGUAGAUAUUGGGAGGAACACCAGUGGCGAAGGCGGCCUUCUGGACUGUGUCUGACGCUGAGGAGCGAAAGCCGAGGGAGNCG
rnacentral:rRNA from 1 species